AUUGAACGCUGGCGGCAUGCUUUACACAUGCAAGUCGAACGGCAGCGCGGGCUUCGGCCUGGCGGCGAGUGGCGAACGGGUGAGUAAUACAUCGGAACGUGCCCAGUAGUGGGGGAUAGCUCGGCGAAAGCCGGAUUAAUACCGCAUACGACCUGAGGAUGAAAGCGGGGGAUCUUCGGACCUCGCGCUAUUGGAGCGGCCGAUGGCAGCUUAGCUAGUUGGUGGGGUAAAGGCCUACCAAGGCGACGAUCUGUAGCUGGUCUGAGAGGACGACCAGCCACACUGGGACUGAGACACGGCCCAGACUCCUACGGGAGGCAGCAGUGGGGAAUUUUGGACAAUGGGCGAAAGCCUGAUCCAGCAAUGCCGCGUGUGUGAUGAAGGCCUUCGGGUUGUAAAGCACUUUUGGCGGGAACGAAAAGGACUGUGCCAAUACCACGGUUCGAUGACGGUACCCGCAGAAUAAGCACCGGCUAACUACGUG
rnacentral:rRNA from 1 species